GCGGUGCUCACGGGGUGUUGUGAGGAGCUGCAGGGAUGAGCUGGAGCUUUGAGGAGCCUUUAAGCAGCACCUGGUGGAGGGGUGAAUUUUCCAGUUUCUUUGCUGUUUCGACUUAUCAUGGACCCUGCUUCUGUACAGAGAGGCUGCAAAAAGAAAUAAAACACCCUAGCAGCAGCUUGGAUUUGUCCUGAACAUGACAUCAGGGCCUUCACAAGGGACUGAUCCUGUGCAGAGCUGUGGAGCAGCCCAAGCUCCUCCAGUAGAGUUGUCUGCAGAGGGAGGCGGAACUUUUUACCACCUUUUGAGGCCAUGGAGCUCCAUGCCCAGCUCUUCUCUGGAGGUAAGACCCUACCUUCUCACUGCCUUUUCUACUAAUGGGGGAAAAGUGGUGACCGAAGGAGCAGUAAAGUCAAUACUGACAUGCAGGAACCAUCAGACUGAUGAAAAACAUGGCUCUGGUUACCAACAGAACCCAGUUGCCUGCUGAAACGCUUCCUCAGCCAUGAGGUUUCAAGCCACCACAUAAUCUUUGGCCCCUCCAAAGUUGUUUCUGCCAAAGCCACGGCAGAGGUGAGCUUUUUGUUUGGAGGAGCUGAUUCAGGUACCAUCAAGAACUAUCCUCUGCUUUUGGGCUGGUGGCGCCCAAAGUCUGCUGCUGGCCAUAUAUUGCUCUUGUGGGUGUUGUCGUGCAAGGCUGAUGGCUCAGCAUCGUUUCUUCCCCAACAUCACCUUGUGAUGCAGAUUGCUUAGAGCAAGGUCCUACUGGUAUCAGUAGUCCUAUUGACUUCAGAGAGGCAAGCGUGGGACAAAUAUCUUCCACUGCACUAUCAGGAGGUGCAAACCAAAGCACCCUUCUUGUUUGAUCUCGGCAAGCAUGGAAAAGUGUUGAGAGCUGAUGUAACCCUUGCAAGAGAAUAAAGACCAUACCACACGAAUGAGCUCAGUCAGCUACAGAGACUCAAAUUAGAGCAAUUUCCAUUGUAUAUUUCCUCCCUCACAGAAGAUCAGAUGGAGAUUUCUGUGUCUCCUAGGCAGUCACAGCAAGUUCUCCCUCUCCAACAGCAGAACCAAGGGACGAAGAGGAGCAAAAAAAAAAUAAGGACGAUGAAGAAAACACUGCACGCAUCACAAAUGCUGCUCUCAGUAAAAUAGCUAAAUAUUGUUCUUACUCGGCAUAUCUGUCAGUGCUAAUGGUAGAGUUCAUACUACUCAAAAAAAAGCUCUGUUGACCCAGUGGGGCCAACAGUGCUACAAAAAAUGUGUUGUGGUCCCCAGCAAAAAAAAUAAAUGGCUGUUAAGGACAUCUGUGAAAACUAACUGAAAGUGCUGGGUUCAUAUAUAUGUCAGCAUGGCAAGACAUUCAGAUAAUAGGUCAGCAGAAAUAUAAUUGGUUUUCAGAGGUAUUAAUGCUGCUGCUGCCACUGCCGGAGAGCAGGGCUGGUAUACACUUUUUACCACAAUACUUUCCAAAAACACCCCAGAUGCUUUCCAGUUGUAAUUUCGUUUUAGGAAAGAAUGAAAAUUUUUAUAUUGUCUUUUUUUAUAUCUCAACUUUAAA